GAGGGGAUUAGUGGCGAACGGGUGAGUAACACGUGGGCAAUCUGCCCUGCACUCUGGGACAAGCCCUGGAAACGGGGUCUAAUACCGGAUACGACCACUGAGGGCAUCCUCGGUGGUGGAAAGCUCCGGCGGUGCAGGAUGAGCCCGCGGCCUAUCAGCUUGUUGGUGGGGUGAUGGCCUACCAAGGCGACGACGGGUAGCCGGCCUGAGAGGGCGACCGGCCACACUGGGACUGAGACACGGCCCAGACUCCUACGGGAGGCAGCAGUGGGGAAUAUUGCACAAUGGGCGAAAGCCUGAUGCAGCGACGCCGCGUGAGGGAUGACGGCCUUCGGGUUGUAAACCUCUUUCAGCAGGGAAGAAGCGAGAGUGACGGUACCUGCAGAAGAAGCGCCGGCUAACUACGUGCCAGCAGCCGCGGUAAUACGUAGGGCGCGAGCGUUGUCCGGAAUUAUUGGGCGUAAAGAGCUCGUAGGCGGCUUGUCACGUCGGUUGUGAAAGCCCGGGGCUUAACCCCGGGUCUGCAGUCGAUACGGGCAGGCUAGAGUUCGGUAGGGGAGAUCGGAAUUCCUGGUGUAGCGGUGAAAUGCGCAGAUAUCAGGAGGAACACCGGUGGCGAAGGCGGAUCUCUGGGCCGAUACUGACGCUGAGGAGCGAAAGCGUGGGGAGCGAACAGGAUUAGAUACCCUGGUAGUCCACG
rnacentral:rRNA from 1 species